AUGAGGCUCCUCAUGUCCAGGAAGCGGCACAGGCUGCGCUGCCGCCGGCGAAUCCGUGGACCGGUUGCUUUGGUGGCUAAAAGAAAGAGUCUGCGCUGCCAGCAAGAUGAUAACUAUCAUGUGGACAGAGGAAUAUCUUGUCCCGAUCUUCCAGAGGAUAUCUUGCGGCAUAUUCAUGCCAAAAUGACACUUAGAGAUGCUGCUCGUGCUGCUUGCGCAUCGCACACAUUCCGACGCAACUGGAUAUUCCAUCCCAACCUUACAUUCAGUCUGGGAACACUUGGCUUGAAUAGAAAUGCGUCUAGGGAUGUAAUAACAAGAGAUCUUAUCAGCAAGAUUGACCUGAUUAUGCAAAAUCGCUCAGGGAUUGAAGAACUGAUCCUGACGCUGCCUCUACCCACCAUUGUUUUUGAGAAUGCUGUACCCAUCAUUUCAGUGUAUAACUUCCCAUGUUCACUAUUAUCUAACGGGAGCGGAAACUCAAUUCAAUAUCUCGACCUGUGUUACUGUACCUUGCGUCCCACAGCUGGUCUUGGUUGCCUAAGAAGCCUGACAAGACUGCGCCUGUGUUGCACGCGGAUUACUGGGGAUGAAUUAUGGUGUCUCCUUUCCAAUUCUCCCGCUUUGGUGUGCUUGAUACUCCAGUACUGCAAGGAGAUAAUUUCCUUGAAGAUACCUUCUCUGCUGCAGCGUCUCCGUUUUCUGGAGGUGGCUGAUUGUGAUAGGCUGCAGGUGGUAGAGAGCAAUGCUCCAAAUCUCACCACUUUUUACUUCGAAGGUUUCAUAGGUCAAAUCUCACUUGGGGGCUCACUGCAAGUGAAAACCCUACGCAUGAUAUGCUUCCGCCAGACCAACAUUGUCUGUUAUGCUCGGCACAAUCUUUUGUCUAUUGCCCCAAAUGUUGAAACACUUACCAUAUCAUCACCGAAUGAGAUGGUGAACACACCGAUGCUAUCUAGCAAGUUUCUCCACCUCAAGCUCUUGCAGAUUUCAUUAGUGGGAAUGGCUCUUUCCGGAGCUUAUGAUUAUCUUUCUCUGGUUUCUUUUCUCGAUGCUUCUCCUUGCUUGGAGAAUUUUGUAUUAGCUAUAUCCCAGCAUCGCAUGGGGCAUGCUUCGAUUCUUGGAGAGCCCUCACAUGAUCUGAGGCAGAUCCCGCAGCAGCGCCAUGACAAGCUCAAGAGUGUGACGAUCACUGGCUUUUGCUCGGCAAAGAGCUUGGUUGAGCUAACAUGUCAUAUCCUCGAGAAUACAACAUCACUCGACUGCCUUACGCUGGACACCACAUGUCAUCCUAGUUGCGCUGUCACAAAAUUUGACAAGUGUCACCCCCUCAUGGAUGGGGAUAGCCUGGUGGAGGCACAGAAAGCGCUCUUGGCCAUCAGAAGAUACGUUCUGGGGAAAGUCCCCUCUAUGGUCAAGUUAAAUAUCCUGGAGCCUUGCAGCCGAUGCCAUGCCGUUGAAUCUUUGGUGUCAACUGCCAAGUUGUCUUAG
rnacentral:rRNA from 1 species